ACGACGCAACGCGUGAAGUGUCAAACGGAAGAGCACGUUGCUUCUUUGAGUUCGUUUAGGCGCGUAGUACUGUGGUCACACGGUGCUCUUUCCUUGACCCAGAUUUUCCGUCCACGAAGGCGUCCAUUUGGCUGAGAAAAAUCGCGGCAAACUAGCGUACCCGAUUAUUUCAAAGUCGUACGGAAAAUAAGUGGAUGGGGAAAGAAGUAGGAGUAGUAGAAGGAGCAGCAGCAGCAGUCAGUAGUAGUAGGAGGAGAAGGAGAAGGAAGAGGAGGAAGAAAUAACGAAAAUUAGCCUGCUCUGCGUGUGCCAACUUACGAUUUGGUACCCAACGGUCGGAGACUUCUUCUGUACUUCUCAGUCAAGCGUGUCAAGGUCGUACGAAGAGGCACAUAGUAGCGCUCGUCCAGAAUACGCGGCAGGUGUAGCGUGGCACGACCUGCACGCAUUUGCAUCUGAUCUUCUACACAAUUGCAAUGAAGGAGAAAAACAGGUGAAGAAGCAGAAAGAGAGAGAGAGAGAGAGAGAGAGAAGGAGAAAGACAGAGAAAGAAAGAGAGAGAAAGAAAUAACGACGCAACGAGACGAGGUAAGAGAGGUAAAAUUCCCGAGGUUGGUUUGUUAUAAAUCACUCGGUAGAACAUGAUUAGAGUUCGAUCGUUGAAAUUAAAUUGGAAGAAGGAAAGGAGCCAAGGAAUUUCAUGAAUUCGGAACACCGUAUAUUUACAGAUUAACUCGUUUCUAAGAUCUAUUGAUUAUAUCAUUAUUCAUAAAAUAUAAUAUAUAUAUAUAUAUGAUUAAAGUAGAUAACUCAAUAGUUUUCAGUAUCGUUAACAAUCUAAGAACGUAUUAACUUUAUAUGUUUAUUAGAAGAUUCAUUAGCUAAUACUAUUGAUUUCGAGAAUAGAUACUACUACAUACAAAUGUUACGAGACGACACUGUCUAUGAGUAGACGCAAUGCGUAAGCCACGAGAUUAUUGAUCUUUACCCAAAUGUUCUUGAAUAUCUUGGAUAUUUCGUUACCCUCUAAUAUUUAAUAUUUACAUAUAAUAUAUUGCUAUAUAAUGUAAUAGAUAAAUAGAUAUAAGUGUAAUAUAAUAGAUAUGUGUUCUAAAGGAAAACGAGUUAGCAAAGGUUACUUUUUCGAACGUUAAAACUUUUAUAAACUAUAUCUAGAUGCUAAUUUAAAAUAACGACUAUGUCCGACUAUGAAAAUCAUUUCAAGUUGAUCUAACUUCGUAUUUUAUUCACAUGAUACAAUAUAUGAAAAGUCUGCGUCGUGCGGCUCGAAUCGCGAUUGGUCCUCGUAAUACCGCAUGCAUGUGUCUGAUCUAAGGAGAGGCUGCUGUACUUGUGAUAAAUUGAUCUUGGCUCUUUACCAUAUCCUAGGAAUAAUGUUUCGGUGCGUUGUCAUUAGUGAUUAACGUUUUCCGCUUUUAGUUGAAUAAAAUGAAAUUAAAAUAGAAUCGAUAGAUUUAUAUUGCGUAUUUAUGUUCGAUCGUUAUUAGACAGAUAAUAUUUCUCUUACAAUGAGAAAAUAAACCUAGGAAUACACAUACACAUAUAUAUCGUGAGUUUGCUUAAAUUUGUUUUAGCUUUACUCGUUAAAGCGAUUAGAACGCCCGAUAAGAAAUCUGAUCGAGAUAAAAGCAAAAAGAAGGUGAGGGUGGAAAGUAGAAAGAGAGAGAAAGAGAGAGAGAGAGAGAGAGAGAGAGAGAGAGAAAGAGAGAAAGAGAAAGAGAGAGAUCGUGACUGUGGUGCUAUUAUCGCGUUCGAGGAGAUAGUAGGCCAACUUUCGAGAUGACAGUUUUAUCCUCUGUGCAUGGCGAACCGUGCAAAAGCGAACCGACCGGCGAUCCUCUCGAGUGUACCAACCAGAGACAGGGGACGCGAAAGGGGGGAAGAAAUCCUCCAGCACGUUUUCGCUACUUUCCGAGCACGAUAUCGUGAGAAUCUGUGGUGAAAAGUGGGGCUCCUUCGGUAACGCGCGGCGCUUCGCACGAGGGUAAAAGUUGAGAAAUCAAGGGGAAAUCCAAUCGCGUGUAGGACGAAAAAUACGGCAUCGCUAGUUGAUAUUCUCGAUGGGAACGUAGAGAACGACGACUUUACGAUAAUUUCUAGAAGAAGAUUCUUCUUUCUUUUUCUUUUUUUUUGAAAAAGAAAAGGAUCGAAAGAAAGAUCGAGAUAAUCGAGCUUAAUCGUUAGAUAGAUAAAUAUAUAUGAUCGUUUAUUUCUACGA